rnacentral:sRNA from 1 species
AAUGUAAUUUUCUAUAUGCUUUGUUGUUUGCAUAUAUAAUUAUGUUAGGUUUUUAUUUUAAUUUGACUUCUUUAAUUUAUUUUCGGUAAGAUUUGUAUUUGUAUAUCUACGACAUUAACGUGAACGUAAACGUAAACAUGAAAGUUAAUCCAGUUUCUCUUUACACAAAUCAUAGUAAUGCUUUCUCAAAUAAAAGAUUUUAUAAAAUCAACUAUGACGGAUCAAAUACGCAAAUAGUUAUGUGAGUACAACAGAGAUCAUAUCAGUUGUAUUUUAAAAAGAGUUGUAAUUAUAGCUUGAACAAAAAUUUCAUAUAAAAAUUAGUCUUAAAAUAUAUAUUUAAGAUCUAUAAUUAUUAAUUUAUAAUAUUAUUGGGACUAUAAUUUUACAUAGGAAUUUUAAAA